GAUGAACGCUGGCGGCGUGCCUAAUACAUGCCAGUCGAGCGAACGGACGAGAAGCUUGCUUCUCUGAUGUUAGCGGCGGACGGGUGAGUAACACGUGGAUAACCUACCUAUAAGACUGGGAUAACUUCGGGAAACCGUAGCUAAUACCGGAUAAUAUUUUGAACCGCAUGGUUCAAAAGUGAAAGACGGUCUUGCUGUCACUUAUAGAUGGAUCCGCGCUGCAUUAGCUAGUUGGUAAGGUAACGGCUUACCAAGGCAACGAUGCAUAGCCGACCUGAGAGGGUGAUCGGCCAAACUGGAACUGAGACACGGUCCAGACUCCUACGGGAGGCAGCAGUAGGGAAUCUUCCGCAAUGGGCGAAAGCCUGACGGAGCAACGCCGCGUGAGUGAUGAAGGUCUUCGGAUCGUAAAACUCUGUUAUUAGGGAAGAACAUAUGUGUAAGUAACUGUGCACAUCUUGACGGUACCUAAUCAGAAAGCCACGGCUAACUACGUG
rnacentral:rRNA from 1 species